rnacentral:ncRNA from 1 species
UCGCGUGCUCUGGGGUCGGUGAAAUUCCGAGCCGGCGGUGACUGGAUCAACGUCCAGAAGUCCGCGACCCGAUGGCAGCCAGUCAUCGGUUGACCAGGUGAGAAUCCUGGACCGACGGUUAAAGUCCGGAUGGGAAGACGCACGCAG